ACAGUGGACCAGGCUUCUGAUGGAACUAUUACAAGCAUGAAGAAGAGGUGGUGAGAUGGUCCUGCUGACCCCAGGGCAGAUGGCAUUGACAAAGCUGUAUGUGGAAGGGCUUAAGGCAUACCUGGGAAGAAUGAUACAUGAAAAUGAAGGCAGGAGAUCAGUUGACAGGUCUAUGGACCAAAGAAUAGCAAGGAUUAUCAACAAGUUCCCAGAAGCCAGAGAGAAUCAGAGAAACAUCUGACUCUGUCCCCAGAAGCAUUCAACACCACUAAACAUGAUCUAGGACUUACUACAUCAGAAAUGAAAGACAACUUUCUGUUGUUUAAGACAUUCAACCUGUGGUCCUUGUUAUAGCCGUCACAACAAUAAAUACAAGUUAAAAUAUGCUGGGAAGAAACGUGAGAAGAAAACCUUGAAAUAAGCAAAGGUCUUCGGGAUUCCAGUGUCUACUGAAGACCAGCCGAGAUGCCCAUCUUCAUGAACUGAAAAACUACUGGAUUCCUGGACCAGUAGACAGCCAUUGUUGGGCUAGCUAGACCACAGCCUGGAAGACACUCUAAUAAAUCCCCCUUUUAUGUCUCUGA
rnacentral:lncRNA from 1 species